rfam:Bacillus anthracis str. 'Ames Ancestor', complete genome.
GUAAAAGCGUUGAAAAGGAAAAGUAGGAUGAACACAUUCUUUCCAGAGAGCUUCGGUAGCUGAGAAGAAGCAAGAAUAUUCAUUUGAACAAUGGCCUUUGAGCUUCGUCCUGAACUUAUCAAAUGAUAAUAGUAGGCGGCGACGAGAGUUGGUACUCGUUAUCAAAACCACAGUAUAAGAGCAUAUAGCUCCGUACUUGUUAAGGCUAAUUAUGUGAGUAAUUGGCGAAAUAAGGUGGUACCGCGACUGUUUAUACAGCCCCGCCCUUAUC